rnacentral:rRNA from 1 species
AUUGAACGCUGGCGGCAGGCCUAACACAUGCAAGUCGAGCGAGCGGCGGACGGGCGAGUAAUGUAUGGGGAUCUGCCUGAUGGCGGGGGAUAACUACUGGAAACGUUAGCUAAUACCGCAUACCAUCAGAUCAACCCCUAUGGGAUUAGCUAGUAGGUAAGGUAACGGCUUACCUAGGCGACGCGCCCUAGCUGGUCUGAGAGGAUGAGCGGCCACACUGGGACGGAGACACGGCCCAGACUCCUACGGGAGGCAGCAGGGGGGAAUAUGAGGCAAUGGGCGCAAGGCUGACGCAGCCAUGCCGCGUGUAUGAAGAAGGUCUUCGGGUUGUAAAACACUUUUAGUAGGGAGGCGGUACCGACAGAGAAAGCAACGGCUAACUCCGUGCCAGCAGCCGCGGUAAUAC